AUGUAACAGAGUUUAAAAAUAUUUUUGUUAAAUUCAGCAAAAAUUGGGAAACUCGCCAUUGGCUGUUGUGGACAUGAUAUUGCGGGGCGGCGCUAUAUAAUCAGAGUCUCACACCUGCUGACUUCCACUGCGACAUUGAUGCACUGUAUGCUGAUAAGCCUUUUGGUGCUGUUUUUCCCAGGAGUUUGCAUGUUCUCCCCGUGCCUCGGGGGUUUCCUCCGGGUACUCCGGUUUCCUCCCCUGGUCCAAAGACAUGCAUGGUCAAACGGAUGUGACGUAUGGCGUAUGCUAGCACUUAAAUUGGCGGUUUCUUGGCGCGGUCUCGCAACUUGUACAAGAUGUCUUUGGGAACAACUUACACAUUGAGGAGGGGCACGUUGUCAGCUGUACUUCGAGAGGAUGAUAUAACAGUGGACAACUUGCCGAGGAUUUUUAAGGUAACACAAUCAAGUGUUUACUUGACCAGUGACCAGGGAGUUUCAGUUUUUUCCAUCCACAUCUAGAUUCUUUAGUUGUUUGGAUCUCAUGACUGGUGGAGGAACCUUCCAGGUGAUGGGGAUGAAAUGUGCGGGGCAUUACCAAGCCCAGUCACAAAGCCAUUUCACCCAAACCCUGGUCAGAGUCGACCUCGUUUUAGUUUUUCAAGAUCAUCCACUGCUACUACUGCUGCUGCUCGCACACCCCAUCCUGCAACUAAUCAAAAAAUCUACCAAAGAACCAUUUUCCUUGGUCAACUUGAGGGUGACAAAAUAGUACAGGACAAGGCCUUGGUAAUCCCUUUUGAAGAGUCUGAGGCCUGUUUGUCUACCAUCACAAAGUUAAAGAAGCCCUUGCUGUGGGUGCUGAUGAAAACAUCAUUUUAACUGAUAGUCAAGGAAACCUGCUCCUUGAUGCCCCUGGCACAAAAGGUUCUGCUUAUUGGAAGCAGAGGUCCAGGCACCUUUUUGCCAUCAAAGAUGUUUUUGCAGAAAUGGGAAGAAGAAAAAGAAGAAAACUAGGGAGUGAUGAACAGACCUACAGUAUGCUGGCGC